UACGUAGGGUGCAAGCGUUGUCCGGAAUUAUUGGGCGUAAAGAGCUCGUAGGCGGUCUGUUACGUCGGCUGUGAAAACCCGGAGCUCAACUCCGGGCCUGCAGUCGAUACGGGCAGACUGGAGUUCGGCAGGGGAGACUGGAAUCCUGGUGUAGCGGUGAAUGCGCAGAUAUCAGGAGGAACACCGGUGGCGAAGGCGGCGACCUGGUCCUUGAGCUGGACGCUGGAGGCGCGAAAGCGUGGGUAGC
rnacentral:rRNA from 1 species